rnacentral:tRNA from 1 species
CGCAGGGUAGCUCAGUUGGUCAGAGCAGUUGGCUCAUACCCAAAAGGUCGGCGGUUCGAAUCCGCCUCCUGCGACCA